rnacentral:lncRNA from 1 species
UGACUCCUUACACAAAACAGAGAAAUGCAUACAUAAAGACUGGCAGGAACCAGGCAGUGAUUACAACUGAGAUAAAAGUGGCCCUAUCUAAAGUCAGCUAUUGUAGGAGCCAGGUGAGGAUUUCGCACCCUAGUCACAAAAGUCCCUUAGUAAGUGCUUACUUCUGCUAUUCCUCUGAGCCUUGUGAAAACUUGCACCAGGGGUUUUCAGCUCUUGCUAACCUUUUCAUGAAUAAUGCAAUGCUCUAGUUGCUCCUUAAACCACAACCCACCUUCUUCCUAGACCAUUGUAAAUUCCUGCAUAUGACUGUUAUUUUAAGUAUCUGUAGGGAACCUCCAUUUGUCAGAGAACUCACCAACUUUCUUCUAAUAUGUAAUGUAGUCUGCCAUACCUUACUGUCAUGAGAAUUCUAAGUUUACUCUGUAGAACUUGCCCUGAGAUUUCUAUUCUUAUUCAGUAAACUGCAAUGCUUGAUUUCUUUCACUAUCUCUCUUUCAACCCUGGAGGCAUUUUGUCUGAAUCAGUCAAAUCAUUCCUUGGAGGAACCUUUAAUAAAACAAUACUGAAGGAAAGCAUGCAAGACCCUCCAUGACUAUUGCAGGGACAAAUCUGAAACACAUUGUGUUACGGGAUGCCAAGAUCUCUAGGAGACCAGUUUCUGUGAAACUUUUUGCCUCAGAACUGUGGCCAAGCUUUUGGACUUGUCAAAUAGACUCCAUUGGAGUGGGCGUGGCAGCUUAUAUUCAUGAAACCAGUUUUUUUUUUUUUUUAUUUCAUAACAGCUGAGUAUGAGUGAUAUUGUUUGUGUUUUUGAUUAGUAUUUUCACAGUAACUAAUGAUGUCUAUCAUGUUUUCAUGUUAUUUUUGGUUAUUUCUAGAUCUUUAUAAAAUGUCUUGAUUAUUUUAUGUUUUAGUAAAAUAUAUAUAAAAUAUUACUUAUUGUCUCCCUCCCUCCCUCUCUCCCUUCCUUCUGUCUUUUUUUAAGACAGGGUUUCACAUUAUAGCUCUGUAUGGCCUUUGUAGACCAGGCCAGUCUUGUGCUCCACAAAUUUGCCUGCCUCUGUCUCCUGGGUGCAGGGAUUAAAAGCUGGCCUUUAUUCCACUUUUAAAUGUACAGUCAGUGACUGUCUUAGUUAGGAUUUUACUGCGGUGAACUGACCAAGGCAAAUCUUAUAAAGGACAAUAUUUAAUUGGUCUAGCUUACAGGUCCAGAGGUCCAUUCCAUCUUCAUCAAGGUAGGAGCAUGGCAGCAUCUAGGCAGGCAUGAUGUAGGCAGAACUGAGAGUUCUACAUUUUCCUCUGAAGGACUCACUUCCAGGCAGCUAGGGUGAGGGUCUUAAGGCCAUGCCUGCAGUGACACACUUACUCUAGCAAGGCCACACCUCCUAACAGUGCCACUCCCUGGGCCAAGCAUAUACAAACCAUCACAGUGAUACCUUGCAUUCAUCUAUUUGUUGCCACUGAGUUUAAGUUGAUAAGCAGCUCAAUUACAUCUUUAAAGUAGGAAGUAACCUGGUUAUCCACAGUAGGAAGGAUUACAGGAAAUGAUAGCAGAGAACAGUACAUUCCUUUUGUUAUAUUCUAGAGAAAAAUGAUAGGAGGCCAAUGGAACUAAGCCAGUGGCUUUGGAGAAGUGGAAACAGGUUAUAGAGGUGAGCACAGGAAUUCAAGGGGGUGCUUCUGGAACUGAUGUGAAUUAUGGCAUUGUUAAAAAAGAUUUAUCAAGUUCACAUGCUCACAUAAUUAGUAAUUGCUGUCACUGAAAAAUAAUACAGAAGAUAGGUGUCUGAGUUGCUUUCUUUUGCUGUGAUAAAAUAUCACGACCAAGAGCAUCUUAGGGGAGAGGAAGUUUAUUUUAGCUUGUAGUUCCAGAUGGAUAAGAGGCCAUAAGGGGAUGCAUGGCAAGCAGGAGCAGUUAUGGAGGCGUGGCAAGUGGAGAGCUCACGUGUUCAAAUGCAGACAUAAAGAAGAGUGAGAGAGGGGACUCAAAGUAGUGUGUAAUCUCUAAACUCUCAAAGUCUGUCUUGAAUGACACUCGAGGCCACAUCUCCUUAACCUCUCCAAUAGUGCCAUGAACUGGGGACCAAGUGUUCAAACAUCUGACCUAUGGGGGACAUUUUUACUAAACCACUGUAGUAGGUAUUUGUCUUAGGGUUUUACUGCUGUGAAGAGACACCAUGACCAAGGCAACUCUUAUAAAGGACAACAUUUAAUUGUGGCUUGCUUAUAUGUUCUGAGGUUCAUUUUAUUAUCAUCAUGGCGAUAUCCAGGCAGGCAUGGCGCUGGAGGAGCUGAGAGUUCUACAUCUUGUUCUGAAGGCAAAUGGAAGACUUUCCCCCUCACUGGGUAGACAAGCCCUCAAAGCCACCCCCACAGUCACUGCACUUCCUCCAACAAGACCGUACCUAAUAGUGGCACUUCCAAGGCCAAGCAUAUUCAAACUACCACAGCAUUGUACAUUGAAGUUUUUAAGGAAAAACUAACAUUUGUUUAAUGAUUAAUUUUAGCAUUAAGUAUUGUUUAGUUGUAAUGAAUUGAAUGAGAAUGGCCCCCAUAGUCCCCUAUUAUUUGAAUGCUUAGUCACCAGGGAGUGGCACUAUUUGAGAAGGAUUUAGGAGGUGUGGUCUUGUUGGAGAAAGUGUGUCACUGAGGUGAGCUUUGUGGUUUCAAAAGCCCACACUAGGCCCAGUGUUGUUCUUUCUUCCUGUGGAUCAGUAUGUAGCUUUCAGCAACUCUUCUAGCUCCAUGACUGCUGCCAAGCUCCCACCAUGAUGAUAAUGGGCUAACUGUAUGAAACUGUAACCAAGCUCACAAUUAAAAAUGCUCUUUUGCAAGAGUUGUCUUGGUCUUGGUGUCAUUUCACAUCUGAUUAAAAG